rnacentral:rRNA from 1 species
GACGAACGCUGGCGGCGUGCUUAACACAUGCAAGUCGAACGGUGAUCUUGAGAGCUUGCUCUUGGGUGAUCAGUGGCGAACGGGUGAGUAACACGUGAGUAACCUGCCCCUGACUCUGGAAUAACUUCGGGAAACCGAAGCUAAUACCGGAUAUGACACAGAGCCGCAUGGUUUCUGUGUGGAAAGUUUUUCGGUUGGGGAUGGACUCGCGGCCUAUCAGCUUGUUGGUGAGGUAAUGGCUCACCAAGGCGACGACGGGUAGCCGGCCUGAGAGGGCGAUCGGCCACACUGGGACUGAGACACGGCCCAGACUCCUACGGGAGGCAGCAGUGGGGAAUUUUGGACAAUGGGCGAAAGCCUGAUCCAGCCAUGCCGCGUGCAGGAUGAAGGCCUUCGGGUUGGUAACUAGCUUUGUUACGGUAACGAAAGAACUACUGGUUAAGUACCUGGGUCCGACUGACGGUACCGUAACGAAUAAGACACCGGCUAACUACGUAGCCAGCAGCCGCGGUAAA